AAAAAUAAAGUUUACUACCCCUAGUAAACUUUUACAGGGGGUAGUAAACUUGCAAAACAGUAGCUCGAAUGCCAUAAUUCACAUUGAAAAGGAGAAAAAUCAACUUAGAUGACGAAAAAAUAAAGUUUACUACCCUAGUAAACUUUUACGUAGGGGUAGUAAACUUGACAAAACAGUAGCUUCAAUGCCAUAAUUCACAUUAGAAAAAGAAGAAAAAUCAACUUACAUACGAAAAAAUAAAGUUUACUACCCCUAGUAAACUUUUACACCUAGUUUAUAUGGCUACCGGCCUUCUCCACCGAACCCGGCGCCAAAACUAUGGACCCCGCAAUCCUGGAGCAGUGUCCAUCCACGGUGACGGUGCGGCGUAACCCUCACCGUAGAGCGAGGCCGUUAACUACUCC
rnacentral:lncRNA from 1 species